rnacentral:rRNA from 1 species
UGGGGAAUUUUGGACAAUGGGGGCAACCCUGAUCCAGCCAUGCCGCGUGAGUGAAGAAGGCCUUCGGGUUGUAAAGCUCUUUCGGCCGGGAAGAAAUCGCGCCAGCUAAUACCUGGUGUGGAUGACGGUACCGGAAGAAGAAGCACCGGCUAACUACGUGCCAGCAGCCGCGGUAAUACGUAGGGUGCGAGCGUUAAUCGGAAUUACUGGGCGUAAAGCGUGCGCAGGCGGCUCUAUAAGACAGAUGUGAAAUCCCCGGGCUUAACCUGGGAACUGCGUUUGUGACUGUAGGGCUUGAGUGCGGCGAGAGGGGGUGGAAUUCCACGUGUAGCAGUGAAAUGCGUAGAGAUGUGGAGGAACGCCGAUGGCGAAGGCAGCCCCCUGGGUCGACACUGACGCUCA